GAGGGUAUAGCUCAGUGGUAGAGGUCCUGCCUAACAUGCAUGAGGUCCUAGGUUCAAUCCUCAGUACUGCCA
rnacentral:tRNA from 1 species